UACGAAGGGGGCUAGCGUUGCUCGGAAUCACUGGGCGUAAAGCGCACGUAGGCGGCUUUGCAAGUUAGAGGUGAAAGCCCGGGGCUCAACUCCGGAAUUGCCUUUAAAACUGCAUCGCUAGAAUUGUGGAGAGGUAAGUGGAAUUCCGAGUGUAGAGGUGAAAUUCGUAGAUAUUCGGAAGAACACCAGUGGCGAAGGCGGCUCACUGGCUCGUAACUGACGCUCAUGCACGACAGCGUGGGGAUCAAACAGG
rnacentral:rRNA from 1 species